GGCGCUCUGCCCCCAGCAGGCUGUGUCCCACACUUUCCCCAGCACAGUGACUGCAAUGUGUGUGGCCUGGACUUUGUGGUCCCACCCUGGGCUGCUCUGAGCUCUGUGAGCAGGGACCUGCUGGUGGUUGGUCUGUGGGAAGAACAAGCGGAGUGUGAACACCCCUCAGCCCCCACCUGUUGCGGAGGAGGAGACAGGGCCCAGAGAGGGACUGACGCACACGUGGAGGCGGAGGACCCGGGCACUGUCCGCCUGGCGCCUGGGGCGGGCAGAUCUCCGCUCUUACUGUAAGUAAGGGUAACGGUUCCCAGAGCAACUGCAGCUCGUCUUCUGGGAUUUACAGGAAAUCAAAUGAGCAGUUUCCAGAAGGGGCUGAGACUGUGAGGGCUGGUGAGCAGGAGAGCACCCAGCGCCCAGAGGCCCUGAGCAGCAGGUGGCAGGGUCUGUCCCUCCCCCACCAGAGGGCAGGAGCAGAGUCCAGGGCCUCACCCGAAAAUGUGUGGCCUAUUCCCGAGGCCUGAGGUCUUCCUGGCCUGCAAUGGGCAUGCUCUGGACCACAGCCAGGUGUGGUGGUGCACGUCUGAGACCCAGCACUCAGGAGGCUGAGGCGGGAGGAUCUCCAGUUCAAAGCCAGCCUCGGCAACUUAGUGAGACCCUGUCUCAAAAUAAAAAAUAAAAAGGGCUGGGGGUGUGGCUCAGUGGUAGAGUGCCCCUCGGCUUCAAUUCCCAGCACCCCCAAAAAGUUUCUUAUUACAAAAGAUAUUCUUAUUUUAGAAUAACUAUAGCAAUUACGGUUAUAAUUAAAACACUAUUUGAAUGACAA